rnacentral:rRNA from 1 species
GAUGAACGCUAGCGGCAGGCUUAACACAUGCAAGUCGAGGGGUAUAGGUUUUCGGACCUAGAGACCGGCGCACGGGUGCGUAACGCGUAUGCAACCUACCUUUUACAGGGGGAUAGCCCAGAGAAAUUUGGAUUAAUACCUCAUAGUAUUAUGAUGUGGCAUCACAUUAUAAUUAAAGUCACAACGGUAAAAGAUGGGCAUGCGUCCCAUUAGCUAGAUGGUAAGUAACGGCUUACCAUGGCUACGAUGGGUAGGGGUCCUGAGAGGGAGAUCCCCCAAACUGGUACUGCGACACGGACCAGACCU